rnacentral:rRNA from 1 species
GUCUACGGCCUACCACCCUAAACGUGCCCGAUCUCGUAUGAUCUCAAAGGCUAAGCAGGGUCGGGCCUGGCUGGUACUCGGAUGGGAAGAGUCAGACGACCGAUGCUGUCUACA